UUUGAUGUAAGCACACUCAUUUGGAACCAUGCAUAAUUUGGCCAAAGGUAACAAACAAGGUAAGCAACUCCAACAAAAUUCACCGGAAAAAACCAUGCAUUGCAUACUUUGAAAAGGACCAAACCGCAUCAUCCAAGACGCCUCUCUCGUUAACCACCACCAUACCACACCAACCACAGGUAGCAAAACAACUUGCGCUACAGACCAUCACCAUCUCAAGUCUCAGAUUCUGUCGAAGCAGGCAGCUAACAAGGCAAAGGCAAGGCUGUUCGGCGACGUCGGAAACUUAUUAUCAUCAUCAUCAUCAUACCACACCAACCACAGGCAGGUCCAUGUGCAGUAAGGAAGUAAAAACCAGGGCGGGACGGAGACCGGCCGAUCAGUCGACGACCUCCUCCGUCUUCUUGGGCUUGGACAGGAGGUACCAGCCCAGGGCGCUCAGGCCGGCGAGGGUGCCAGCCAGCACGGCGUAGUUCCUGUUCUUGUCGGUCGACGUGCCUGCUGCGGAUGCCGACGCGGUCGAACUCACAUCGGCUGCUGCGGCGCUUGGGGUGGACGGAGCUUGCUCUCCUGCGCUGGGACCCUGCAGGAACUCACAGCAGCUCUUGUCAGUUCCAUGAACACACAGAGGAUAUAUAUUAGUACUGCAUCUCAACUUAAGAAGCUACAACUUAGAUAUCCAUUGCACAUAUAUAACUCUGUCAAUAUGCUGAAGACAACAUCAAAAGAAACAUAUCUUGUCAAUUUCACGACUAACACAGAACAUACAUAGUAGUGUUUCUCAACUUAGGAAGCUGAAACAUACACAUCCAUUCAAGAUAUAUAAUCUAGGGCAGAAGGAUGCUAAUUUGCUGCACACAGCAUCACAAGAACUUACACAUAACUAGUGUAUCUCAACUUAGAAAGCUAAACCAUAUGUAUCCACUGAACAUAUAUAACUUUACAUCUCAAGAACACAUACAAACGGGUAAUGCAUUUCAAGAACCACAAGACUUUACAUCUCUAGUAAGAUCCAUGAACCACACAGAACACAUGCAAACGGGUAAUGCAUUUCAACUUAGCAAGCUAAAACAUACAUAUCCAUUACGCAUAUAUAAUUUUGUAGAAAAGGAUGCUAAUUUGCUGUACAUGGCAACAUGAGCAGACAAGAAUAAUGGAAGUAAAACAUCAACAACCACUGCCCAGUUGAGAGAUUCAAGCACUUGUGUGUUCACAUACCUUGCGUGCGAGCUUCUCCCGCUUCUCUUGUUCCAUUUUCUGCAUAAACAGACCAGAAAUAGGUCAUCAGACAUGUUAUUAAGUUUUAACAAAGCAUCAGCACAUACACAGAAGACCACUUAUGCCAAUACUAUAUCUUUAUAUUAACAAAGCAUCAGCACAUAUACAGAAGACCAUGUAUGCCAACAGUAUGGCUUAUUUCAGAUUCAGAGUUACUGAGUUAGAAACAGGAAAAACUGGUGCUUCUGGAUGUCCUGGCUAAUUUCAAGUGUUCAAAUAGUUGAACUUGUACUAUGGAUGAGCCUAGUGCUUCAUUCGUCAAGUGAACAGAGAUAACAGGGCAUAACACCAUACAUAAAGUGAUAUAUACACAUGUAUGAGCAUACAACCGGUUUGCCACUGAGAUAAAACAUUUUAUUGUUGAAGACUCCAACUGAAAGCAGCUAACAAGGUAACAGAUCCAAUUCAAUGCUUAUGAUUAUGAAUGUAAGACGAGCAUUAUCUGAAGCAAUGGGUGCAUCAAAGCAACGGUUAAUUAAUGUGCUGCAGAAAGAAGUAUCAAUUACGUCUACCCGUACAACUGUUAUCAAGGAUUCCUAGCUGAAUUUUACUUCUGAUAAGUCUAGUGCUUCAUUUGUCAACUAAACACAGAAUAUACAAUGUCAUGUAUAUAUAACUAUAUAAUAUGAACAUGGUACUAAAAUGUCACUGCUGAGUAUAAACAAUUUAUGGUUGACGACUUCAACUGAAAACUACUAAUAAGGUAACAGUCCCAGUUUAAUGAUUACAGAUGGCAAGACAAGCAUUAUUUUAAUGCAAUGAGGUGUUGUAUGAAGAACAGGGUUCCUAUUGGUGUUCUGCAGAAAUAAUGAAAUAACAAUGAUUCUCAGGUGACUAAACAGAAACACACAAAACAAGCAACUAGCAUAGUGGUAGAAUUUUUCGACUCGCCGCGAACCUAAGCUAUAACAUAAUCAUAUAAUUACGCAUUCACAUGAUGAACAAUAAAAACAAUAAACAUAACUGAUGAGUUCACAAGAGCCACAGCAAAAAUUAUAGCCCAACUGGACCACAAAACGGAAGAAAGAGGUUCAGGGAACAGGUCACGCAGUGGCGAGAAUAAAACAUUCUACACAUAACAGAAGGUUCAUGUAACCUCGAAAACACAGCACCACACAUAUCACAGUGCCUACUGAUAGUAUUUGCAAUUCCUAUCUGUAUAUCCAAAUAUCAAUCCCCAAUUCCAGGCAAACUAAAACCCAUAUCACAGCAACCAUCUAACAAAGCUCCAAUAGUAAAAAAAGCAUGAGGAACAAAUAAAAUCAGUUCAGAAGCAGGUUUGCAAAGAUCCCCAAAUCACCCACUUCGCCAUCAGAACAGCUACUGUGUCAAUGGGCAUAACUGAGCAACCAGCCUACAUCAGAAGGUUCACAUAUAAUCACAGAAGGCCAACACUGACACAUUGUUGCCAGUGCCUACUGAUAGUAUUUGCAAUCUUAUCUGUAUAUCCAAAUAUCAACCCUCAAUUCCAAGCAAACUAAAGCCCCAUAUCACAGGAGACGAACCAUCCAACCAAAGCUCCAAUAGCAAAAAAUAAAAAAAUAAAAAAAUAGAAGCAUGAUGAGCAAAUAUAAUCAAUUGAGAGGCAGAUUUGCAGAGAUCCGCAAUUCCCCCACUACACCACCAGAACAGCUAUCAUGUCCAUGGGCAUAACUAAGCAACUAACCCGCACUUAUAAGAUCCACAUAAUAAUCACAAAAGGGCUAAUAUUGACAGGUUGUUGCCAUGGCAUACUAGUACGAUUUGCACUUGCCCAAAUCAAUCCCCACUAGCAAACCACCUGAAACUUGACACAGCAGAGCAACCAUCCAAUUCGAUGAGCACAUAAAAGUAAUUUUCAGUGGCCAAAGAUCCCCCAAAGGCCAAAUCCACAGGAACAGAAGAGCUACACUGCAUCAACAGACGCAACCGAGCAACCAACCAUGAAUACGAGACAUAACCGAGAACGUCCGGUCACUCGACCUGGGAGCGCCUCAAAUCACCGUCCCCAACCCGCGCAGGGCUCAACGCCACCAACAAAACAGCCGGCAGGUGCUCUUCUGUUCGCCAACCAACGCGGGGUGCAUAAAUCGCCAGCCAACUACGCGACACGGAAACGACCACGCGACCGGCGGAAACCCCCCGGCGGGCGCGCGGAUCGCGCCGGGAACCCUAGACUAGCCCAAGACGCGCGGGGCAGACCAGACGAGACGGGGCCGCGCCGCGUCGCGUCCACGAGGAGCCGUCUCGCACCGGAGCGGGGACGGGGGACGGGGGGAAUCAUACCUUGAUGUAGACGUUCUCGGCGGCCCUCUCCUCCUCGCUGAGCACCUUGCCGGAGGAGCGGAGCCUGGUCUGCACGAACCGCGCCGCCGCCCUGCCCGGGGCCCUCGUCGCCGCCCUCGCCGCCGCCGCCAUCGACAUCGCCCUCGCCGCCG
rnacentral:lncRNA from 1 species